AUGAGGUUCUUUGCUCAGCUCCUGGGGCUGCUAAUGCUCUGGAUCCCAGGAUCCAGUGGGGAUGUUGUGCUGACCCAGACUCCACUCUCCUUGUCUGUCAUCCCUGGAGAGCUGGCCUCCAUCUCCUGCAGGUCUAGUCAGAGCCUCCUACAUAGUGACGGAAACACCUAUUUGUAUUGGUUCCUGCAGAAGCCAGGCCAGUCUCCAAGAUGCCUGAUCUAUGGGGCUUCCACCCAGGCCUCUGGGUUCCCAGACAGGUUCAGUGGCAGCGGGUCAGGGAUAGAUUUUACACUUAAAAUCAGCAGGGUGGAGGAGGAGGAUGUUGGAGAUUAUUAUUGCUCACAAGGAGGCACUGAGCCCUACAGAGGCACCGGCUCUGCAGCUGCAAGGCCGGAACUACCCAAACCCUCGGAGUUCAUGUCUGCUCUUCAGAAUCCUCAUGAGCAGGCAGCUCAGUGA